AUGGACGGUACUAGCUCCAACAAGAGACAACUGGAAGCUCAGCUAGAGGGAGAUAGCAAUGCUAAGAGGCACAAUGUCACCAUGAGGUUGGAGACCCUCGAUUGCUCUGUCUGCUCUGAGCCGCUCAGACCUCCGAUAUUCCAGUCUUCUUUGGGGCAUUUCAUAUGCUUGUCUUGCCGUUCCGAGAUCCUGGACAAGAAGUGCCACUUGUGCUCUGCCGUAACUUCCUUUGAGCGAUGCUUUGGGAUGGAACAUGUCAUCAAGUCAGUCACUGUUGCUUGCUCCAAUGCCAAGUAUGGAUGCGCCGAGCAGAUCAUCUACUAUCAGAAGGAAGAACACGAAAAGAUGUGCCCAAACGCCCCAUGCUUCUGCCCAGAGUCUGGCUGCGGCUUCGCUGGGUCUACAAUGGCGCUCCUGGGCCAUAUGACCGGCAAGCACAAGUGCCCGUUAUCAACCUGCGAUGAUCCUAGCAUGGUGAAUGUUUAUCUGUACUUGGAACCGGGCUUACGUGUUCUGCACUGCCAUGAAGAUGAUCAGUUUUUUCUGUUCAACAUGGCAUCUGAGUCAUUUGGGCAUGCCAUCUCUGUCGUGUGUGUACAACCUCGGGUGACAGAACCCAAGUUCACAUGUGAUUUGUAUUACGACAGCUCGACAACCGACGAUUCUCAGAAUUCUUGUUGCAAGGUAAGAAGCUCAUCACUGUCUGAUGGGCUACCAACGGGCUAUGACCUGAUUGUGCCCAAGGGGAAGGUUUCUGAUGAAGGAAAUGGUAUCAUGCUCAGAGCCACCAUCCGUGAAAAGCGCAACGUUUUCUAUGAUUCCGAUUCUGAUGAAGUACCCAGGGCUUUAGGUCGCAGAAAAAGGAAUGGCCGGAAUCCUGAUUGUUCUGAUCCCAAUCAUGAGCGACCCGUACCCUUGGCUGCCAGAUUGAUUCCUGAUUAUUCCGAGUCUGAAGAUGAACGGCCCUUGGCUGCCAGAUUCUCCAAAAUUCGUGGUUAUGAACGCUGA
rnacentral:rRNA from 1 species